rnacentral:rRNA from 1 species
GACGUAGGAUGCAAGCGUUGUCCGGAUUUAUUGGGCGUAAAGAGUUCGUAGGUGGUUUGUUAAGUCUGGUGUUAAAGAUCGGGGCUCAACCCCGGGAGUGCAUUAGAUACUGGCAGACUGGAGUGCAGUAGAGGCAAGUGGAAUUCCCAGUGUAGCGGUGAAAUGCGUAGAUAUUGGGAAGAACACCGGCGGCGUAAGCGACUUGCUGGGCUGCAACUGACACUGAGGAACGAAAGCCAGGGGAGCGAAUGGG